UACGUAGGGGGCAAGCGUUAUCCGGAUUUACUGGGUGUAAAGGGAGCGUAGACGGCAGCACAAGUCUGAAGUGAAAUGCCGGGGCUUAACCCCGGAACUGCUUUGGAAACUGUGCAGCUAGAGUGCAGGAGAGGUAAGUGGAAUUCCUAGUGUAGCGGUGAAAUGCGUAGAUAUUAGGAGGAACACCAGUGGCGAAGGCGGCUUACUGGACUGUAACUGACACUGAGGCUCGAAAGCGUGGGGAGCAAACAGG
rnacentral:rRNA from 1 species